rnacentral:lncRNA from 1 species
GUAGAAGCAAAUUCUAGACCUGCAGAGUUAGUAAAGUUGUCACCUGGAAUUCAAACCCAGAUUUACAUUGAUCAUCCACUAUGUUCCAGAUACUACAUGAUACUAACAAGACAACAGGGAAAAUAUAUAGGAAGAAGAUGAGAGACCUUUUUAAUAGAAUAAAGAAAAAUGAUAGUGCUCCUAUACCUCAAGCUGCAUGGUUCUGAAUUUGAUUCAGUAAAUGCCUCAAAAUAGAAGUACAUUAAACUUCAAGGCAAUCAGAGCACAACUACUGGAUUGUCACAAUGUGGUAAAAGAAGAGGUAUCCAAAGCUGGCAAAGACACCUAUAGGACCUAUGAUGCAUCAGAACUUUUAGAGCCAUUUGACAGCCUCUAUGAAGAUGCAUAUUGAA